rnacentral:rRNA from 1 species
GACGAACGCUGGCGGCGUGCUUAACACAUGCAAGUCGAGCGGUAAGGCCCUUUCGGGGGUACACGAGCGGCGAACGGGUGAGUAACACGUGGGUGACCUGCCCUCAGCUCUGGGAUAAGCCUGGGAAACCGGGUCUAAUACUGGAUAUGACUCCAUGACGCAUGUUGUGGGGUGGAAAGCCUUGUGCGGCUGAGGAUGGGCCCGCGGCCUAUCAGCUUGUUGGUGGGGUGAUGGCCUACCAAGGCGACGACGAGUAGCCGGCCUGAGAGGGCGACCGGCCACACUGGGACUGAGACACGGCCCAGACUCCUACGGGAGGCAGCAGUGGGGAAUCUUGCGCAAUGGGCGAAAGCCUGACGCAGCGACGCCGCGUGAGGGAUGACGGCCUCGG